rnacentral:lncRNA from 1 species
GGAGGAACUGGAGAGCAGACCUGUGUGCGCGCCCCGCUCUGCCACGUUCCCUGAGGGACACACUGCUUUGACCAGCCCCCACCCCAUCUCCUCUCCGCCAGUCCCCGGUGUCCACCCCAGCCCCGCUACCGAUGAAGCUCAAGCCAGGGUCCCCAUCACCUGCUUCACGGCCAUCCCUGCACUUGAGCUCAGGGGCUCAGGGUUGUGCUGACACGCCUGCCUGUCCACCCCUCACCGACACCUCUGCAGUCCUCCUCAGGGCCCAACAGGACCCCCAGGACCCCGCUCCCAUUCUGCCCUUGCUCCUGCCAACCUGUCUUCUCUAUGCCCAUGACUUUGGAACCCUCUGCCACAAGUGCCAGCCCCCACAUCUGUAGCCCCUGCAGGAACAAGCCCUAAUCUGGACUCAUUGCAAUGGCUCAGCUUCUCUUCCAACCUGUCCAUAAACCUCCAGGCAGAGAUCACAAAACUAACAGCUCUUUCUGCAAAUCUGGACUCUCUCCUGCACCUUCUUCACCGUCCAGGCCUCCCUGUCAUCCGUCCUGGGGACCUCAGAGAUCUCUUCAUUUCACAGGUGAAGACUUGGCUCAGAGAGGGCAGAGCCCCUGGGUCACACAGCCCGUCUCCAGUAGGGCUGGGGAAAAGAACCCAGGGCGCUCUUGUUGGCAGUGUUUUAAUGACUGGGGGGAGGGAGAGAAUGGCUAAUGAGGCUCUAGGGAUCAGCACAGCCAGCUGCUGGAGGUCCCAGAGGACGGGUGACUCAGCAGGAAUGGGGGAGUCUGAGGGGUUGACAGAGUGCCCAAUUCUCACCUCCUCCUGCACCUUCCAGAGAGACGGGCUGCAGGGAGUGAUUGAGUGGAUGAACAUGACUAGAGGGACCCAGUCUUCUCCUCAGCAGCUGCUUGAGGACAGUAUUAGCGGUCCCCUCAAUCCCCCCCCCAACACAUGCACACAUGCACUGACCUGCAGGGGCCAGAUCCCGGUGGACCCGGGGACACAGCUUCCAGGGGCUGUCUUGCCAUGUCCCUUCCCAGAUCUGCCUGGAUUCAUGCCAGGCCACCCUCCACAAUUUGCUGAGGGAGGCCCCAGAGUCCAGGGCACCCAGAGUGCUAACUAGCCCCUGGGGGUACAGGGAGAACAGCAUGCUGUGUGGGGGAUACUACUCUCUGCCCAUACCUAGGGCCCUGUGCACAGGCAGC